rnacentral:rRNA from 1 species
AUUCCAGCUCCAAUAGCGUAUAUUAAAGUUGUUGCAGUUAAAAAGCUCGUAGUUGGAUUUCUGGUCUGAUGCCCUGGCCCGCCUCAAUUUCGAGGUGAGUGCCGGCUGUGCGUCUACCAUCCUUCUAGAAGACGUUCCUACCCUUCACUGGGCCGGGUUCGCGAUCUAGAUCUUUUACUUCGAAAAAAUUAGAGUGUUUAAAGCAGGCUUUUGCUAUGAAUACAUUAGCAUGGAAUAAUAAUCUAGGACUUCGGUUCUAUUUUGUUGGUUUCUAGUACUGAAGUAAUGAUUGAUAGGGAUAGUUGGGGGUGCUAGUAUUGAGCGGCCAGAGGUGAAAUUCUUGGAUUCGCUCAAGACUAACUUAUGCGAAAGCAUUCACCAAGGAUGUCUUCAUUA